CGCGUGCGCGCUCACCUGGCACUGGCUCCUGGCGAGGGCGACCUGGCGUCCUUUCCCUCCUCGCAGUGUCAGCUGGAGCCCAGAGAAACUCAUUGUAUCCAGCUCACAUUGAUUUAUGGGGUAUUUCUGCCAAGUGGAAUAUUCAUUUCUGCCCACACCGAGGACCACUCCAGAGGCAAGAUGAGACAAUGGAGGCUCAUGGAGAUGAAGGAGAAAAGGACUGAAUAAGGCCCAAACCCCAGGACAUUACAGCCAUACACAGUACCUGUCAUUAUGAUGCCGUGGUGAUUCAUCUGUUUGUGUCCUGAAGGUAUUUCAAGCUUGGUGAAUGCCUGUUAAAAUGUGCUGGAAGGAUUGAAUGCCAUCACACGUUGGAGGCCCGAGGCACCUGGAAUGUGCCUCCCACAUUAGAUGCUUGCUAAACAACGAGACCCACCUGCACCUCUAAAGUCGCUCGGGCAUCUGGAAUUGCUUACUAAGGAAGAGGAAGCCACAGCUCCAUGGCAACAUCUAAUCAAGGCAUUUAUAGACUCUCAGUUGGAAAACAGUUCAGAUACAUCCCAGUCCUUCCUGGUGAGUGAUUUGCCUCUACAUCAUCUGCCAAUUCCUACUCAUUUCAGCCUCUCAGGUGUGAAUAAGAUGCUUUGGUCCUGAUACCAGUCACCAGAGUGCUACGGACGGGUGCAGUGAUGGCCGCUCACAGAUCUCCUGUCUCCAUGUUGAUGAAAGUUGGCGGGGGUCCCGGGGGGGCACUGCUA